ACAGACAAUCACGAAGAAGUGUUUUGUUGUCAUGGCGGUGUUUUGAACUAAACUGCCUGACAUUUCCCAUAAACACGUCUUGAUUUUAGCUUCUGUUUACCAACUGCCUGUCAUGUUAAAAUAUAAUAACACGGAUUUACUUGUCGGUUGUCAGUUUACUGUGUGUUUUCGUGUGAUAAAUCAAUUGCUUUUUGCAGUCGAUCGGAUCAGAUGAUUUCAGAUUUCCAAAAAGGGUCUGCUGUGACCAUUGGUGAACUGAGCUAUGUGAGUCGUGAAUGGAUUAAAAAAGGCUCCUCUGGGUCUGCAAACACAGAGCUCCAGUUCAAUAACAGAGUGACACCCAGUGUUCUUAACCGAGCCUUCUCCCAUCAUAAUAGAGAAAUGUAUACCCCGUACUGAGAGGCAGGAUGAUCUGGAGAGCUGCAGCAGGUCCGUACGUCUCUCAGUCCAUUUGCAUUAUAUUGCAAAACAUCUAACCAAGUGAUAAGUGUACAAAUACUUUUGGGCCACUGUACAUCAAAAUGAAAUCAGUAUUUAAUUAUUUGUCUUGUGUGGAAGUGGUUUGUAGAGUGAGCUGGCUGCUGCCUUUGCAGGUAUUUGAUUUCAGGGUAUUGCAAAAGAAAAUCUGAGAUUUUGUUAUUGAAUGCAGGCAGCAGACUGACAGGAAAAUCCCACAGGACCUCACAAGAAUUGGUGAAGGAGCGCAGCGAAGUUCUGAGGGCAGGGCUAGAGAACCUCUUACAUCAUCAAAAACUGAGAGAGGCAGAAGCACAGAAACCCAACAAAACUACCAGUGCCAUCAACCCAGACCAUGCCGGUCAUGUUUGUGAUGCCAGCUUCCAGCAGGCCACUGUCUCAUCCCAACUGAGGGAAAACCAGGUACCUCAAAAAGAGGCCACUGUGCCUUGGAUACAAACAUCCCCUCGCUCUCCUCCUCGCCCACAUGCGUUGUCUAGCCGGCCAGAGCCCAUAUGUCUGUUCUCACCUAAAAAGAGCACUGAAAAGCAGAAGCCACAGACCAGACCCAGUGGCAGCACACAGCUCAGCCCUUCAUCACAUGACAGGAAUCAAGCACAAAAUGAAGCCCUUAGGCAUGUAAUGAACCCUCUUUUUCAGUUAUUUAAGACAUUUCAUUAUCACUGGGCUCUCUUUCUAACUAAACGAUCUUCAUUAUGA
ensembl:lncRNA